UACGGGGGGGGCAAGCGUUGUUCGGAAUUACUGGGCGUAAAGCGCGCGCAGGCGGCUAUCCAAGUCAGUGGUGAAAGCCCGGAGCUCAACUCCGGAAUUGCCAUUGAAACUGUUUAGCUUGAGUACGAGAGAGGUGAGUGGAAUUCCCAGUGUAGAGGUGAAAUUCGUAGAUAUUGGGAAGAACACCGGUGGCGAAGGCGGCUCACUGGCUCGUUACUGACGCUCAGGCGCGACAGCGUGGGGAUCAAACAGG
rnacentral:rRNA from 1 species